AAGGGAUCUAAACUUAUUUCAGCAUUGUGGUGUAUAAAUCUUCUGGGAUUCAGGGAAAAAAAUCAACUGUACUCAGACUGGUUGGUGCCAUAUCCCCACAACCUUUCGGUCCAGAGGACCACAUGAUUACCUGUCCCUGAAUGCAAGGAAUGGAGAAGAACCUGAAGGAAACCAGCGAACAUAGCAGCGUCGGCUCACGGUGCCUUAACAAGCAGAACCAGCUUUGACCAGGUUGCUGAAUGCUAGCCUCAGACUGUAGCAAAACCAUAAUCGCAAGGGUGGGGGGAAACACCCCAAACCAAAUCAGUGCAAAUUAAGGACAAAAGGAUGGAAAAGCCUUGAGAGAGCUCAUUGUCCGGAAGCACCCAGUCUUACCUGUUGAUUCCUGUCAACUCAUGCUGUCUACUGAUAAUGUAUUAUAAACAUACUGAUAAUGCAUUGCUUUGCUUAACAUGUUAGGUUAAAUUGGAUGUUACUUGGACAGAUGUAGGCCCUUACUCUUCCUUUCCCAACACCCAAGUAGAUUUGAGGUAUGUGUAACAGGGAGUGAUGGUGGAAGGCAAGGAAGUAACCUAUUAUUUUGCAUCAGCUAACAGACACAAUUAGAUACAUGGUGUUCUUUGAUCAUUUAUUCUUUGAUAAAAAUAUACAUUGCAGCAUCCAGUGUCAGACCAAUUAUUGCUCUCUAUAUACUGUCUGUAAUCAUAUGUAUUUUGAGAGUUUUCUCUUCAUGACUUGCAUACAGUGAAUUUUGCAAAUUCAUACUAGUGAAUGUAAAGAUAUUGUAUAUAUGGUGAGUCAGUAUUCAAAACUGCUGUUGGAAAUGAUAAAAUUGUCAUUGCAAAAAUGUAUGGAUUUCAUUUAGUUAAAUAUUCUUUGGGUGGUUGUUAGUAUGCAUUUGGACACCUUAUGUGAAGACCUGUCACUCUAGAGAAAGCUGUAAUGCUGGGAAAGGUGGACGGAAAUAGAAGAGGAUGACCA